CUGCGAUGAUGACUGACUUAGGACACUUUUGAUGAAUUCAUGAUACGAAAUAAAUGUUGCGUUUUUUCUGAGCAGC